rnacentral:lncRNA from 1 species
AGGAAAUGGCUGACAAACGGAACUGAGAUUUUGACAGAAUCUCCUGCAAGGGGAACAGAAGUCCACAUGAACCCAAGGCAAAGAUCUGAUACAGCCCUCACUCUCGGUUGAAGCUGGGACCCCACAGAUCUGUAGCAGCAGGUCAGAGUGAACAACGCAUAAACCCACACUGGUCAGGAUCAUGAUCUCUUCUUUUGCUGCUCUGUGGAACCUCAAGACUCAACUGGGAUGGAAGUGGUCUUAUACUGGAAUGUCCUUGAGGAACAGGCUCCGUUCUACCAGCGUGGCCGCUGCCUGAGAAAGACAGGUGUCAGUCACACGGUCCACCUGCAUGAGGAUGUUCCAUCUGAAGGACCUGAGGUCUCCUCCAUCCUACCAUGGUGACAACCUGCCUUGUCCUGAAGCCAAGAGUAUCUCUCAGAGCCCAAUGGAUGAAGCUUACCUGGGAGCUGGGACUAGGGGAGGUCAACAGAGGAUGGAAAGACUGAGGGUGUGUGGGGAAGUGGAAAUGGGCAGGGCUUCUUUGUGGGCUAAAUAGUAACUUGAAAAGAAUAGCAAGAAUAAAGUUUUGCACAAGUAUA